GGGGGGAAGAGCUGUUCAUGACUUCUUCCCCCUCAUCUAAGAUGAGGCGAGCUGCCAGGAGGCGAGGAGGCAGAGCUCGGGCCAGAGAUCUCCCACCUGCCGCCGGCAACUCAGCGGUCACUCCCAUCUUUGAGGUGAUUUACAAACGUGAAGGUAGCUUCCCAACUGCCCUGUAAGGGAGCAAGGUCGUAAUUAGCCUGUUUUAUAAAUGGGAGAUGGAGACACAGAUAGGUGUAAGCGCUUUGCCGCAGGCACACUGCGAUUCCUCUGCGAGGCAGACAGCACAGCGGGCUCCACCGGCUCAGAUCACACCUCCACCGGCUCAGCUCACACCCCGGCCGUGGGAGCCUUCCUUUCCUUCCAGGGGAAGACCCCUGCCCCUCAGAGACCAGCACCGUCCUGAGAAAACCAGGGCCAGGUCUCCGGGCCAGGUCUCCGCUAGGACACAGAGUCCACUUUGUCGUUGAUGAAAAGCAUCAUGGGAAGCAGCGGACAAGCAGAUUGUUGUCGGAAGUCUUCCCGAAGUCCCACCAUGUCGUGUCUUCGCGCUUCUGUGGAAUGCCUACCGCACACCAGAAAUGCUGCUGGCUGCUGGGGACCGGAGAGGGGAAACAUCCGCUUGUCGGCUGGCUCAAAUGUCGCUUUCUCCGCGAGGUCUUUGCUCCGCGACACUCCCGCCCCUGCUGGAGUGCCACGCUCGGCUCCGUGCCCUUGACGGGCCCAUCCUGCCUGGUCCUGCAUCGGAUGUGCUCGCCUGGGAAAGCAGGGAGCCACUGGGUCCAGCGCCGGCGCCCUCAGCCUCAGGCGGCCCAAGCACUCGAAGUGUAACCGUCUGAAGUGAGAUGUUCUGUAAACACAAAACACGCGCUGGGUUUUGAAGAUGAAUAAGAAUUGUGAAACAUCUCAUUAAUAGGUUUUGUGCUUAUAUGUUGAUAGAAUAGUACUUUUGGG
rnacentral:lncRNA from 1 species